UACGUAGGGUGCGAGCGUUGUCCGGAUUUAUUGGGCGUAAAGAGCUCGUAGGCGGUUUGUCGCGUCGGCCGUGAAAUCUCCACGCUUAACGUGGAGCGUGCGGUCGAUACGGGCAGACUUGAGUUCGGUAGGGGAGACUGGAAUUCCUGGUGUAGCGGUGAAAUGCGCAGAUAUCAGGAGGAACACCGGUGGCGAAGGCGGUUCUCUGGGCAUUACCUGACGCUGAGGAGCGAAAGCGUGGGGAGCAAACAGG
rnacentral:rRNA from 1 species